CAAGUUGAAAAAUGGUGUCUAAAUAUUAUCAGCAGGACGAGGGAGAUAUAACCCUCACAAGAUGCAGAAUUUAUCCUCACAGAUUUGUAUCUUGACCGUAGUU
rnacentral:ncRNA from 2 species